AACGAACGCUGGCGGCAUGCCUAACACAUGCAAGUCGAACGAGACCUUCGGGUCUAGUGGCGCACGGGUGCGUAACGCGUGGGAACCUGCCCUUAGGUUCGGAAUAACUCCCCGAAAGGGGUGCUAAUACCGGAUAAUGUCUUCGGACCAAAGAUUUAUCGCCUUUGGAUGGGCCCGCGUUGGAUUAGCUAGUUGGUAGGGUAAAAGCCUACCAAGGCGACGAUCCAUAGCUGGUCUGAGAGGAUGAUCAGCCACACUGGGACUGAGACACGGCCCAGACUCCUACGGGGGGCAGCAGUGGGGAAUAUUGGACAAGGGGCGAAGGCCUGAUCCAGCAAUGCCGCGUGAGUGAUGAAGGCCUAGGGUUGUAAAGCUCUUUUACCCGGGAUGAUAAUGACAGUACCGGGAGAAUAAGCUCCGGCUAACUCCGUG
rnacentral:rRNA from 1 species